CGGGAUCGGGACCGCUCCUCCCACCGGCGGAGGCGGGCGGCUGGCGGAAGCCAACCCUGGCCGCCUCUGAGGAGGAAACCUGACCCCUCAGCCUUUGUACAGAUGUUGGAUAGAAGUGAUCAUCAUUGAGUGCUGUUUCAUAUUGCAUCUGGGAAUCCUUAACAGAAGGUCAUGCAGCUGUGUUUGGGAUUUUGCAUGCUUCAUGAUGUCAAAGGCCACCACCAAAGUUUGACUCAUCUGAAAGUCAGCAGGCAUCUGGCUAUGGUUACUAUCUGAGAU